rnacentral:misc_RNA from 1 species
GAUGACGAACGUAGCGAAAUGCGAUAAGUAAUGUGAAUUGCAGAAUUCAGUGAAUCAUCGAAUCUUUGAACGCACAUUGCGCCCGCUAGUAUUCUGGCGGGCAUGCCUGUCCGAGCGUCAUUUCAACCCUCAAGCCCCCGGGCUUGGUGUUGGGGAUCGGCGAGCCUCCGCGCCCGCCGUCCCCUAAAUCUAGUGGCGGUCUCGCUGUAGCUUCCUCUGCGUAGUAGCACACCUCGCACUGGGAAACAGCGCGGCCACGCCGUUAAACCCCCAACUUCUGAACGUUUGACCUCGGAUCAGGUAGGAAUACCCGCUGAACUUAAGCAUAUCAAUAAGCGGAGGA